rnacentral:rRNA from 1 species
GGGGAAUCUUCCGCAAUGGGCGAAAGCCUGACGGAGCAACGCCGCGUGAGUGAUGAAGGUCUUCGGAUCGUAAAACUCUGUUAUUAGGGAAGAACAUAUGUGUAAGUAACUGUGCACAUCUUGACGGUACCUAAUCAGAAAGCCACGGCUAACUACGUGCCAGCAGCCGCGGUAAUACGUAGGUGGCAAGCGUUAUCCGGAAUUAUUGGGCGUAAAGCGCGCGUAGGCGGUUUUUUAAGUCUGAUGUGAAAGCCCACGGCUCAACCGUGGAGGGUCAUUGGAAACUGGAAAACUUGAGUGCAGAAGAGGAAAGUGGAAUUCCAUGUGUAGCGGUGAAAUGCGCAGAGAUAUGGAGGAACACCAGUGGCGAAGGCGACUUUCUGGUCUGUAACUGACGCUGAUGUGCGAAAGCGUGGGGAUCAAACAGGAUUAGAUACCCUGGUAGUCCACGCCGUAAACGAUGAGUGCUAAGUGUUAGGGGGUUUCCGCCCCUUAGUGCUGCAGCUAACGCAUUAAGCACUCCGCCUGGGGAGUACGACCGCAAGGUUG